rnacentral:rRNA from 1 species
UACGGAGGAUGCGAGCGUUAUCCGGAUUUAUUGGGUUUAAAGGGUGCGCAGGCGGCACGGCAAGCCGGCGGUCAAAUCGCGGGGCUCAACCCCGCCCAGCCGUCGGAACUGCCGGGCUAGAGUGGGCGAGAAGUGCGCGGAAUGCGUGGUGUAGCGGUGAAAUGCAUAGAUAUCACGCAGAACUCCGAUUGCGAAGGCAGCAUACCGGUGCACAACUGACGCUCAGGCACGAAAGCGUGGGUAUCGAACAGG